rnacentral:lncRNA from 1 species
GCGUUUAUUCUGUGCUCCCUGCCGAGGAGAUGUGAGGGAUUUUCUCUUGGGGGAGAAAUCAGUGGUCGAGCGCCUGCCCAGCUCAAAUGCCACCCGGCUCAGAGGGAGGCCUGCGGCCCAGGGAUCCCGGAGGGAGAGCAACGUCACACCUCCUGAGGACAGCCAGGACUCCAGCUUUUGCUGAGCUUUGCAUCUUGCCUCCUUCCUUCAAAAGGCUCCAGGCCCAUGCUCGGCUGUCUUCAAGUCCCGCAUGCCCCUGGCCAGGCACCUCACCGCCCCUCCAGCCCAGCCCAAUCCUAGAGCUCACCUCCAGGACCCAGAGUCUGCCCUUCUGCCCAGAAUGACUCACCAUUAUUUCUAGCUCGAGUGAGAAGACGUGAUGAGGAGUUGGGCUGCCUGUUGGUGCAUCUCAGAUUCCUGCAGCAUCUGAUCAGCUCUGCAAGGAAGAGAGCUUCACGUCUCUGGUCAGAGACACUCUGCAUCAUCUGGUUCUCCUUUGAAUUCUUGGUGAGGUUCUUUGCCUGUCCCAGCAAAGCCGGCUUCUUCACCAACAUCAUGAACAUCAUUGACAUUGUGGCCA